rnacentral:rRNA from 1 species
GACGAACGCUGGCGGCGUGCCUAACACAUGCAAGUGGAGCGACGGACCAGGGCUUGCCCUGGGGCCAAGCCGCGAACGGGUGAGUAACACGUGGGUAACCCGCCCCGAUGACCGGGACAACCCGAGGAAACUCGGGCUAAUACCGGAUGAGCCCCGCAGGCUCCAGCCUGCUGGGGAAAGGUAGCUUCGGCUUCCGCUUCGGGAAGGGCCCGCGGCCCAUUAGCUAGUUGGUGAGGUAACGGCUCACCAAGGCGAAGAUCAGUAGCUGGCCUGAGAGGGCGGCCAGCCACAUUGGGACUGAGACACGGCCCAAACUCCUACGGGAGGCAGCAGUGGGGAAUCUUCUGCAAUGGGCGCAAGCCUGACAGAGCGGCGUCAUGUGAAGGAAGAAGGCCUGAAAUAGGUUGUAAACUUCUUUUACUGAGUAAUGAAUACUGACAACGCAGUAAAAAAGUAUCGGCUAACUCCGUGCCAGCAGCCGCGGUA